GGCCGCAAGGUUAAAACUCAAAUGAAUUGACGGGGGCCCGCACAAGCGGUGGAGCAUGUGGUUUAAUUCGAUGCAACGCGAAGAACCUUACCUACUCUUGACAUCCAGAGAAUUUAGCAGAGAUGCUGAAGUGCCUUCGGGAACUCUGAGACAGGUGCUGCAUGGCUGUCGUCAGCUCGUGUUGUGAAAUGUUGGGUUAAGUCCCGCAACGAGCGCAACCCUUCUCCUUUGUUGCCAGCGAUU
rnacentral:rRNA from 1 species